AUGACUCUCAUCACCAUCCUCAUCUGGACGCUGGCCUGCUGCUGUUUUACAGGAUGCAGCGGUCAGGUGACUGUGACUCAGCCUCCAGUAGUGACAUCUACUCCAGGAUCCACCGUCUCUCUCACCUGUAAGACCAGCCAAGCUGUUUACAAAGACAGUGAUGAUGCUGAUUAUUUUACGUUAGGUAAUGAUGAUGAAGAAGAUAUGCACUGGUAUCAACAGAAAUCUGGACAGGCUCCAAAGCUUCUAAUAAAACUUGUGAGCACACGUGAAUCAGGAACAGCAGCUCGGUUUAGUGGCAGUGGAAGCAGCUCUGACUUCACUUUGACCAUCAGUGGAGUUCAGAGUGAAGACGCAGCAGUUUAUUACUGUCAGAGUGCCCAUAUCAUAAACAGUGCUGCUGUGUUCACACAGUGA